CAUGCCCGUGUGGUGUUCUGUGCCUUGUUGUGCUAAUUACAAACAAGCGUGAAAAUUAGUUAUCUUUCACCAUUCUACCUACCAGAGAUUCACCCCGAUUCUGCCAGUGGCUUGCGGCUAUCAAGAAUGAUGCAGUGACCAAAGAUUAUCAGAGUGAUUUUCAGGCUGAACUGAUGAGGAAUCCAUUUCGACGACAGCUGAGAAGUGAUGCGAUACCAUCGAUUUUAUAAUGUAUUUUUUUCCACAACAAAACGGAAGAUUCUCAAUUAAAGGUGGUACAGAAUCUGAUUCCACCAACAUGUGCUUCCAACCCCUAGCUCUGCACAAGGUGAAGGUUAUCCACAGUGCCUUGGUGAAAAAUACCCCAUAGCGAGGGUAUUUUGGGUACACAAGCAUGAGGGAGUGGACACAGCUUGCGGUUAUGGAGCACAUCAAGAUUGUUGGACAGUAACCAGCAAGGGACACUGAGAGGGUUAAAAGACUACAACAGUAAUGACACAACCACCUCAUUAUUCUCUCUGCAGAUUCUCAAAACACAAUACAAAGACAAUACAAAAUUCCCCUGCAAAGGACUACUAUUGACAAUAAUGAUCUGUCAUAGUCAAUAUACAGACAGUACUUUGAGAUGAGGAAGGGGGUUUUGGUUGUGCAGGUUUGUGCUUAGACAGUCAAUGUAUUGUUGUGAAUGAGAGCGGUUGAGGUGCCAUUUCUCCUCAAUCUCCUAUACACAACAAUUCAUAUUGUGUAAGAACUACCUUCCUAAGACUUUUCACACCUUCUUCAGCCCCCCAGUCCAUUCACUUUGUUGACUGAUCAUUGCUCUCAAAAGCAGCUCCCAAUGUCCCCUUAUUGUCCCUAAACAAUACGCUAGCUGGUCCCAUUCGGUUUAUACAUUUACCAACAAAGGCGUGUUGCCCUACUCCCUUCCACAAAAAGUGUAAAAUGCUAAGACCACAACCAUGUCUUUCCAGGAGACGUGCAUUACUAGCAAAUCUUCUGCAAGAGGACCAAACAGUUGGUGGUUAAGAAGCCAUACACCACUUUCAGCAGCGUCUUAUCCAGCUGGCCAUUCACCGCAGACAGGACAAGCCCAUCGCCAUAAGCACAAAGAGUCUCACCUUCCCCAGCCCACCAUUGCCAGUGUACCGAAGCCUGAUAAAGGACUAUGGCUGCGUUUACACAAGCAGCCCAA